CUUGAACUUUAUAAGAGGUCCAGCCUGCCCAGUGACUUUGUUCAACGGCCGCGGUAUCCUAACCGUGCGAAGGUAGCGUAAUCACUUGUUCUUUAAAUGCGGACUAGUAUGAAUGGCACUACGAGGGUUAUACUGUCUCCUUUUUCUAAUCAGUGAAACUAAUUUUCCCGUGAAGAAGCGGGGAUAUAAUUAUAAGACGAGAAGACCCUAUGGAGCUUUAAACAACCCAGCAAUUACUUCUAAAAUUAUAAAUCUCAGAAUAUUCAUUUUUAAGCAAUAUGUCUGCAAGUUUUUGGUUGGGGUGACCAUGGAGAAUAACACAACCUCCAUGUUGAAUGAAUUUCCGUUCUAAGCUAAAAAUCACUAAUUGAAGCAUCAACACACUGACAUCUAUUGACCCAAUAUAUUUGAUCAACGAAC
rnacentral:rRNA from 1 species